rnacentral:rRNA from 1 species
AGUGGCAGACGGGUGAGUAACACGUGGGUAUCCACUCUUUGAUGGGGAAUAACUCUGGGAAACCGGAGCUAAUACCGCAUAAGUCCGAGAGGAGAAAGACGCAAGUCGUCGAAGAAGGAGCCCGCGGCUGAUUAGCUAGUUGGUGAGGUAAUGGCUCACCAAGGCGUAGAUCGGUAGCCGGCCUGAGAGGGCACACGGCCACACUGGCACUGAGACACGGGCCAGACUCCUACGGGAGGCAGCAGUGGGGAAUCUUGCACAAUGGGGGAAACCCUGAUGCAGCGACGCCGCGUGAGCGAUGAAGCCCUUCGGGGUGUAAAGCUCUUUCGGCAGGAACGAUAAUGACGGUACCUGAAGAAGAAGCUGCGGCUAACUACGUGCCAGCAGCCGCGGUAAUACGUAGGCAGCAAACGUUGUUCGGAGUUACUGGGCGUAAAGAGUACGUAGGCGGUUUGCCAAGUUUGGUGUGAAAUCUCCUGGCUUAACUGGGAGGGUGCGCCGAAUACUGGCGAGCUUGAGUGUUGGAGAGGGGAGCGGAAUUCCUGGUGUAGCGGUGAAAUGCGUAGAUAUCAGGAGGAACACCGGUGGUGUAGACGGCUCCCUGGACAACCACUGACGCUGAGGUACGAAAGCGUGGGUAGCAAACAGGAUUAGAUACCCUGGUAGUCCACGCCCUAAACGAUGCAAACUUGG